rnacentral:rRNA from 1 species
ACGCUGGCGGCGUGCCUAACACAUGCAAGUCGAACGAAGCAUUUGAAUGGAUCCCUUCGGGGUGAAGCUCUUAUGACUUAGUGGCGGACGGGUGAGUAACGCGUGAAUAACCUGCCUGUAUGUGGGGGAUAACAACCGGAAACAGUUGCUAAUACCGCAUAAUGUAUGGAAAUCGCAUGUUUUCCAUACCAAAGAUUUAUUGCAUACAGAUGGACUCGCGUCUGAUUAGAUAGUUGGUGAGGUAACGGCUCACCAAGUCGACGAUCAGUAGCCGGACUGAGAGGUUGAACGGCCACAUUGGGACUGAGAUACGGCCCAGACUCCUACGGGAGGCAGCAGUGGGGAAUAUUGCGCAAUGGGGGCAACCCUGACGCAGCAACGCCGCGUGAAGGAUGAAGGUCUUCGGAUUGUAAACUUUUGUCUUAAGGGAAGAUAAUGACAGUACCUUAGGAGGAAGCCACGGCUAACUACGUG